rnacentral:rRNA from 1 species
UGGGGAAUUUUGGACAAUGGGCGCAAGCCUGAUCCAGCAAUGCUGCGUGCAGGAUGAAGGCCUUCGGGUUGUAAACUGCUUUUGUACGGAGCGAAAAGGUCUGCCCUAAUACGGUGGGCUCAUGACGGUACCGACAGAAUAAGCACCGGCUAACUCUGUGCCAGCAGCCGCGGUAAUACAGAGGGUGCAAGCGUUAAUCGGUAUUACUGGGCGUAAAGCGCGCGUAGGUGGUUUGUUAAGUUGAAUGUGAGAUCGCCGGGCUCAACCUGGGACCUGCAUUUGUGACUGUAUAGCUAGAGUACGGUAGAGGGGGAUGGAAUUCCGCGUGUAGCAGUGAAAUGCGUAGACAUGCGGAGGAACACCGAUGGAGAAGGCAAUCCCCUGGACCUGUACUGACGCACAUGCACGAAAGCGUGGAGAGCAAACA